CAUGCAAGUCGAGGGGAAACGACAUCGAAAGCUUGCUUUUGAUGGGCGUCGACCGGCGCACGGGUGAGUAACGCGUAUCCAACCUGCCCACCACUUGGGGAUAACCUUGCGAAAGUAAGACUAAUACCCAAUGACGUCUCUAGAAGACAUCUGAAGGAGAUUAAAGAUUUAUCGGUGACGGAUGGGGAUGCGUCUGAUUAGCUUGUUGGCGGGGUAACGGCCCACCAAGGCGACGAUCAGUAGGGGUUCUGAGAGGAAGGUCCCCCACAUUGGAACUGAGACACGGUCCAAACUCCUACGGGAGGCAGCAGUGAGGAAUAUUGGUCAAUGGACGAGAGUCUGAACCAGCCAAGUAGCGUGCAGGAUGACGGCCCUAUGGGUUGUAAACUGCUUUUAUAAGGGAAUAAAGUGAGAGUCGUGACUCUUUUUGCAUGUACCUUAUGAAUAAGGACCGGCUAAUUCCGUGCCAGCAGCCGCGGUAAUACGGAAGGUCCGGGCGUUAUCCGGAUUUAUUGGGUUUAAAGGGAGCGUAGGCCGGAGAUUAAGCGUGUUGUGAAAUGUAGAUGCUCAACAUCUGAACUGCAGCGCGAACUGGUUUCCUUGAGUACGCACAAAGUGGGCGGAAUUCGUGGUGUAGCGGUGAAAUGCUUAGAUAUCACGAAGAACUCCGAUUGCGAAGGCAGCUCACUGGAGCGCAACUGACGCUGAAGCUCGAAAGUGCGGGUAUCGAACAGGAUUAGAUACCCUGGUAGUCCGCACGGUAAACGAUGGAUGCCCGCUGUUGGUCUGAAUAGGUCAGCGGCCAAGCGAAAGCAUUAAGCAUCCCACCUGGGGAGUACGCCGGCAACGGUGAAACUCUAAGGAAUUGACGGGG
rnacentral:rRNA from 1 species